CCUAUUGCCAGUACUUGUUGUCGACUCCAGUGUUCGAAUUUUAGGCUUUUUUUGUGGUGUAAUGAUAAUUUGAGAGGCACUAUCAAAGGGAGGCAUGUGAAGAGGCUUUUAACUUUUAUUAACUACGGUUGUAAGCUGUGAAAAGCACAAAUUUGAAAACAAUGAAUAAAUAAUGGAGAAAUGUGCUUCAAUUAUGGUUUAUAAAUGUAUCAGUCAAGUGAUUCAGUGUUAGUGACCACCACCACCCACCCACCCACCCACCACCAUGUAGUGGGGGUGGCUAGGGUUCGGUCGAGCAGUCUGCCCUGAUACUCUGUGACGUGAAGAGCUGCGUGUCCUGCUACUCUCAUCCUGUCGGUACGUUUGCUAUUGUCUCAUUGGUGUGGUGACUGUGACCUGCCCUGACCUGCCUGUGACCUGCCCUGACCUGCCUGUGACCUGCCCUGACCUGCCCUGACCUGCCUGUGACCUGCUUUUGACCUGCCUUGACUUCCUCUGACACACAUGGUGACCCGAGACCUGCCAAGACCUUCCCAGGACCUUCCCAAGACCUUCCAAGACCCACAAUGACCCACAGAUGAAGAU